CCCGGCCCUGCUGAUAUGUCUUGAAGAUCCGGUCUUCAGAGAUUUGAUUCCUCGUGUUCCUUGCCACAAAUCAUGUUCUCUGAUCAAGAUGUGUUUCGGAAACCUUCGAUCGAGUCUGGGCCGAAACGAAGUGUUUGCAGGCGGUUGGCCCCGAGCUGGCACUGGGUGCUAAGAAGAAGAUGAUGAAGUGAACGAACGCCGUUGCAGCUAUAUGGACGGAAGAUAUGUGGGCCGAGGUUGGGUUUUCGGGUUUCUGAUCUUUGACUUCCUCGUGACUGCAAGCUCAAGCUCAUAUAGAUUUUUUGCAACAAUCUUGAGAUCCGACAUAGCAUACACAUAAAUUUCAUCCUCUCUAGAAGAGGGCAGCUAGAGAUCAUCCGCUUCUCGAGCAUGUUUCCAGCUACGCAGACAAGAGAGGAAAUCCAACGACCAAUCUCAGGGAGAGGCGAUAACUUUCGAGUGAAAGAUCAUGAACUUCCUUACAGCGACAGAGUGCAACAGCAGGACAUGGUUGAUCAUUAUCUCCCACUGAAGAAGAAGGAAAGACGAUUUGUCAUCAAAUAAAUAAGGUUUAUCAUUUAUGUAUAUAAUUCGUUCUGAUGCGGGCCAGCCAUUACAAGAUGAACUUGCAAAGUCGCCGCAGAAAAUACUUGCAAAUGCUUUUCCGGAAUUCAUGCCAAAAUCUGAACCUGCAACAGGCCCUGGUUCCACAGCAGCCUCAGCUGCAGUAGGAGGUGAUGAAGGAGUAGCUGUUCUGUUCCUCCGCCUGAUGGUUCUAAUUUAACCAAUUCAGGCGGCCCUGCUGCAACUUCUGAUGGAUGUUUUGAGGGCAUGGCUCUUAUAAAACACCGGUGAAAUUAAUACCUGGUUGGUUGCAGAGUAAUAGGAUUGUCUUCGACACUCUGGUACUUAUUUGGAAAUCACCUGUGAGAAUAUCUCGAUUGUGAAAUGAACAAGAGUUGGAUUUUGGUGCAAGUACGUUUUCCGGGAAAACUGAGAUUUAGACAUCCGUUUUUUUUUCUUUUUUUCUUUUAAUAAUAUACAUAGGUUUAUGUGUUUCA